ACCACCCUCCUGCUGACAGUGUACACGAUUCUCUCUAAGGUGCACUCUGAUCGGAAUGUCUAUCCUUCUGCUGGAGUUCUUUUUGUUCAUGUUUUGGAGAGAGAAUACUUUAAGGGGGAGUUUCCUCCUUAUCCAAAGCCUGGUGAGAUAAGUAAUGAUCCUAUAACAUUUAACACCAACUUAAUGGGUUACCCUGACAGACCUGGAUGGCUACGCUACAUUCAGAGGACACCAUACAGUGAUGGAGUGCUGUAUGGAUCACCAACUAUAGAAAAUGUGGGCAAACCAACCAUCAUUGAGAUCACUGCUUAUAACAGGCGCACCUUUGAGACUGCAAGACAUAACUUGAUUAUUAAUAUAAUGUCAGCAGAAGAUUUUCCUUUACCAUAUCAAGCGGAGUUCUUCAUAAAGAACAUGAAUGUAGAAGAAAUGUUAGCAAGUGAGGUUCUUGGAGAUUUUCUUGGAGCAGUGAAAAAUGUUUGGCAACCAGAGCGUUUGAAUGCUAUAAACAUCACCUCAGCUCUAGACAGGGGAGGCAGAGUUCCACUUCCUAUUAAUGAUAUGAAAGAGGGUGUCUAUGUUAUGGUUGGUGCAGAUGUUCCGUUCUCCUCAUGCUUACGAGAAGUGGAAAAUCCACAAAAUCAGCUGAGAUGCAGCCAAGAAAUGGAACCUGUAAUAACUUGUGAUAAAAAAUUUCGUACUCAGUUCAGUAUUGAUUGGUGUAAAAUCUCUUUGGUUGAUAAAACAAAACAAGUUUCCACCUAUCAGGAUGUGAUCCGAGGAGAGGGAAUAUUACCUGAUGGUGGAGAAUAUAAACCACCGCCUGAUACACUGAAAAACAGAGACUAUUACUCGGAUUUUCUAAUUACACUGGCAGUGCCCUCAGCAGUAGCACUGGUGCUUUUUCUAAUACUUGCUUAUAUCAUGUGCUGCCGACGGGAAGGAGUGGAAAAGAGAAACAUGCAAACACCAGACAUCCAGUUGGUCCACCACAGUGCUAUACAGAAAUCCACCAAAGAGCUUCGUGAGAUGUCCAAAAAUAGAGAGAUAGCAUGGCCUCUUUCAACACUUCCUGUGUUUCACCCAGUUACUGGUGAGAUUGUACCACCUCUUCACACAGACAGCUAUGAUAAUACUAGCAUGCCACUAAUGCAAACACAGCAGAACCUGCCACAUCAGACUCAGAUUCCACAGCAGCAAACUGCAGAGUCCCCAUCAAGAACUCCAAAGUAGAGGAGAGGAGGGCGGGUUCCGGAGCACCAAAAGUGGGACACACCUCAAAGAACCAUCGUUCCUGCACAAGGUGAGUAACUACUACUUCUUCAAGCAGUGUCCCUAUGGGUGCUCCACUGUAGGUGACUCCCGAGCAGUAUUCCUAAUGGGAGGUUCGGGCCUCGAAGUUAAGUCUGUUAUGGAUAAUACUGCUGCGCUGAAGCUAGCAUCAGAAGAAGAGUCCCCAAUAAUCAUACAGUAUUCUGCGAAGGUAUGUACAGACACCAAGGUGGAUGCUCUGCAGAUUUCUGAGAUAGGGACAUUCUUGAAGAAAGCGACAGAGGAAGAAACGGACCUCAUGUUGCGUGUGAGAAUUCCAGAUGGAGACAUUAUGUUGCGAACAUGAUAGCAGAGCUUAAUAUAGUUCGAGACUCACUUAGAGAGCCUCUGGGGCGAUACUGCUGUGCAUUUAGACCUUUCCGCAAUGGAAAGGAAGAGCUUGGGAGAUUUCCUAAAAGUCUUCAUCCUGUCCAGGUAGAAGGCCAGAACUCUCCUAACAUUUAGCAUGUGGACUAUGGCCUCUCUGUUCUAACAGUGAGGCUUAGGAUAAGAGGUUGGGAGAUUAAUUGGUCAGUUCAUGUGAACAAAAUGAGGAAUAAACUUUGAGUGUGGUCUGAGAAUAACCUUGUUGUGAAAGAAUUCUGUAAAGGGCAGUGCGUCAUAAGUGCAUCUAUUUCCCCUAUUCUCCUAGCUGACGUGAUGGCCACGAGAAAUGCGGUUUCAUUGACAGGUAUGUAAGUGAACAAGUGGCUAUAGGUUCAAGGCUCUUUAAAACUAGAUUUAGGUCCCAUGUUGGAGUGGGGCAUCUGGUCUGGGGAAAAAGGUUUGUUAUGCCCUUGAGGAACUCUUUGUGGUUGGGAGUGAGAAAACUCUUGUGGAUGUAAAGUCACUAUGGCUGCCAGGUGUACCUUGAGCAAACUGAGGGAUAGCCUUGUCUUCUUAAGAGCCAGUAUGUAAUCUAACACCACAGGGAGAGCAGCAUGUCAGGAUAAUUUGCCUGGAAUCACAGCAAACCUGAAACCUGGACCGCUUCUGCAGGUAAGUAUGAUGGGUAGCCGAUUACCGACUGUCUAGUAACACUUUCUGUAUCUCCCCAGAGAAGGUACUCUCUAUGUGCUGGAACCAAGAAAGAGCCAAGCCUUGAACCGGAGUAUCCGCAGGUUGGAAUGGAGAGUAUCUCGUUUGUUCUGUGAGAGGAGUAAAUAGUGGGUUGGAGAGAGAUGGGUGGACGCAUCACCAGCUGUGACAGGUACGAAUACCACGUCUGUCCUGGCCAGAUGGGAGUAAAAAGUAGAAUGUUUGCUUUUUCCCUUUUUAUUUUCAACAGGACCUUCACCAUCAGAGGGAACAGGGGAAAGGCAUAAAGAUGACCCUCAUCCCAUAGAAGAAGGAAACGUCCCCUAAUGAGUGCUGUCCAAGGCCAAUCCUGAAGCAACAGUAUGGGCAUUUCCUGUUCAGCUCUCCAGUGACUGAAGUUUGGCUCUGGAAUCCCCAAGUGUGUGGAGCGAUGCAUUGGUCUUCUCAGCAGACAACUCAGAGCCAUGGAAGGAGAGGUCUUCAAUAGUUGUUUGCACCUUCUUUGGGAAACCUGAAAGCUGCAACUACUAAGCUCUUUGCAUCACAACUGCUGUUGAGAUGGACUGGGUCACUGUAUCAGCUGCAUCAAGCACUGCCUGGAGUGCUGUUUUGACCACCAACUGCCCUUCAUUGAUAAUGGCUCGGAAUUGUUCCCAUUAUGAUUCAGUGAGAUGGUCAAUAAAGAGGUUAAGUUUGGUAUAGUUCAUGUAAUCAUAUUUUGCUGUUAAGGCCUGGUAGUUUGCAAUUCUAAAUUGCAGAGUAGCAGCUGAGUAGGCCUUUCAUCCAGAUAAGUCCAGAUGCUUCCAAUCCCUAUCAUAAGGGGUGGACUUUGAAUGCUGUUGCCGGCCACGGGAGUUCACUGCAUCUAUCACAAUGGAAUUAGGGGGAGGGUGGGGAAAAAGAAAUUCUGUAUCCCUGGUGUUGCCUUGAAUUUAAGGGAUGUGUAUACCCCAGAAUGUAAUCAAGUUAAUUGGAGCCAUAUUAUGUGCAUUCAGCCACCCUGAAUUAAUGAAAUAUAACACCACAUAGUUAAGGGUUAAUUUGAAGACAGGCUUUUAGAAGCAAGGUCAUCUCUAGCUGGCAGUUUCUGCUAAUCAGAAUAAAAAAAGGGAAUAGACAAGUAAACAACUAAAACUAAAAAUCUUAAUAAAAAAGUCUAAAUGCCUCUAUUAUUAAAAAUUUAUUAAGAAUUAAAAAAAAGUAAAAAAUCAUCAGAACCUAUGUUUUAUAAGAAUUAGUUACAAAAAAUUAGCUAAUAAUUUUAAAGCAAUCCUCAAAAGCCAUCUUAAAAAACAUUUUUCCUGACACCCUUUC